rnacentral:misc_RNA from 1 species
AACGCACAUUGCGCCCAUUAGUAUUCUAGUGGGCAUGCCUGUUCGAGCGUCAUUUCAACCCUUAAGCCUAGCUUAGUGUUGGGAAUCUACGUACGCAUAACCUUCUGGUUGUGUAGUAGUUCCUGAAAUCAAACGGCGGAUUGUAUGUAUCCUCUGAGCGUAGUAAAUCUUUUUCUCGCUUUUGUUAGGUGCUGUAAUUCUAGCCGCUAAACCCCCAAUUUUUAAUGGUUGACCUCGGAUCAGGUAGGAAUACCCGCUGAACUUAA